ensembl:snRNA U2 U2 spliceosomal RNA
AUUGCCUCUUAGCCUUUUGGCUAAGAUCAAGUAUAGUAUCCGUUUAUAUCUGAUAUAUAUAUAUAUAUUUAAUCUGGUAAUAUAUUGUCCUCUUCCAAGGACAAUAUAUUAAAUAAAUUUUUGGAAUUAAAGAUGGAAUAAGAACUCUU